UUUUGGGUUUACCUUCUCUCGUAAUUUCUUCAGUAACUGUCACUUGUUCUCUGACUUCUUCUACUUCAGUUGGUGUAAUACGUUCGGGAGCGGGCAGUGGUUUUAUGGUUUCCUCCACAAUUUCCUCUGUUGGUCCUUCAGUCACUGUUGUUUCGGGUUUCUUUCCAUGCUCCUCAACCGUUACCACUUCCGUCACCUGUUGUUCUUUACCUCUUCGUUUAAUUAUCUUCUUCUUGGUAACCUUUUUGGGUUUACCUUCUCUCGUAAUUUCUUCAGUAAC